rnacentral:lncRNA from 1 species
UCCCCUUUGUUUUCUCUCUCUUCACUCUCACUUCACCCUCCCCAUCUUUUCUGCUUUUCAUUCUCCAAAACUCUAUUUUUGACUUUUGUGUUCUCUAAAGCUCUAAGGUCUUUCAUCUUUUGAUUUGGGUAAGUUCUCUCCAUCUCCCAACUAAUUUGCACUCCAUAUUGAUGAUUUUUCUUUUGUAUUUUUUCGUUUUUGAUUUUUGUCGAUUGAGUUAAUUUUGAAUGAAAAAAUCGAUUGUUUUAAAAUAAAUGAGGCUUGAUUUUACAAAAAAUUUAUGUUUUUAAGUUGAUAUUUGUUUUAUUCUCAUUGUCGAUUGCAUGGUGAAAUUUUUUUGCAAUUUUUCUCGAGUAUUGUGCCUAAAAAUCUGAUUUUUUUAAAAUUUUUCUUCAAUGUAAUGGUGUUUUGGAUACAUGUUCUUGUGGUUUGUCAUACAUUAUUUUUUUCUGUUAAUAUAUCGUUCGAUUGAUUAGAUAUUUGUUUGAUUUUUGGGACUGAUUUUCAAUUGUUCUCGACUGUAAUUGUGUUUUAGAUAGGAUUUUUUUUUCUUUUUUGAUUCCACAUUCAUCUGCAUGUGAUGUUGUCCGGUUAAUAGAUUAUUAGAUCGAUUAUCUAUUCUUUUUAUAUGAUAAUCUUAUUUUUAGUCUGCAAAUCAUAAAAAAUGGCUAGAGGUAAUAAACGCAAAUCUGUAGAAGCUGAAAGGUCUGGAAAAAGAAAAAAAUAGAUAGUAGAUGAGUUGGAGAAUAGAAAUUAUAGUGAUAAAGCGGUUCAAGCUUCAAGUGGAGAUGAGCAAGAGGAAAUGAAAAUUAAGUGUAGGAUAGAUGAGGAAGCAUUGAUCAUGCUCCACUAUGCAAGGUUUGUUUCGACCGAGAGGUACAACCUCACUACAGUCAUGGAUAAUGUUAGAUUCUUUUCUGUUAAGAUAUCUAUUAGGUCUCGUUUGAAAUUAUUUUAUGAAUUCAGAAAAGUCAUGAUUGAUCAACGCCUCAAGUCAAGGUUCAAAAAUUCCUAUUUUAGCUGUUUAUGGGACUUGCCAGAACAUUUGAAGUGUUAUGAACAGCUUAUCCACUGUACACUUCUUUGAUGAGUUAAACAGGACAACAUUCUGCAUGAAAUGUGAUUUUGCAUCAAUGAUAGGACGACAUAUUUUAACCAGAAGGAGUUUACGCUAAUCACAGGAUUAAACUAUGGGUAUUAUUCCCAUGAUUCAAAAGGGUUGUAGAACGAAGAGUGUUUUUGGAAAGAGAUUAUUAAAGCUUGUUAGAGGUGGGAGGCUGGACAAAGAGGACAAGUUCAUAUGCUGCUUGAUUUGGUUUGUGCACUGCAUAUUGCUCGCAUGAGAUUUGUUGACAAUCAUGGACAUAGACAUUAUCAAGAUGGUGAAUAACAUGAGCUUUUUUGAGAGAUACUCUUGAGCUAAGGAGUCAUUCGUAUUGACUCUAGACUAUCUGAAGAAGCAGAUAGACUUCACCAAGUAGAAUAAUACAUAUGUGAGGAAGUGAUCUUCAUCAUACGUGCUCUACGAAUUUUCCUGGACAUUUCUGGCAUUGAUUAUAAGCUAUUAAAUUAGUUUAUUCUAUACUUCCAUUUAUUUAUGAUAUCUAUUGCACACCGACUGGUUUAUAUAUUUAUUUUUUUAUCAUAGAUUUGAAUAUACAAGUAUUUCUAAAGCUCGACAGUGGAAAUGAUAAAUCAAUGGAAGACCCGUUGCUACUCCCUGAUUGCUCAGAAGGCACACCUCAAAGGUUGAUAAACUAAUCAAAGGUGAUCCAUAUUUGAACAAAUGAAGCACAAAGGAAUGAAAGUAUUUUUUUACUAUCCUUUUUAACAAUAAUGUAUUUCUUAAUAAUCACAUUUUCCUAUUUAUCUCUAGAGAGUGCACCCGUACCUUAUUCCUACAAUCCAUAAAAUAAAACAACAAUAUAUGAUAAAAUUUAAAGCAUUCUUAAAUGAGGUAAAUGACCCAUUCAUCGAUGUCUUGAAGACCCAUUUGCAUGGUCUGACUGUCCUCACCUCAUAGGGGUAUGGUGAGAAUGGCUAUGAUGAUCAGAAUUUGGAUGAAAAUUUUGUGUUAAGACAUGUCACUCAUGGUGCGGGGAAAAGAAAAUUGAUUACGGCAAAAAAGAGAUCAAUGACCGAGAAUAUGAAAGAGCACAUGUUUAGGUUGAAGGAGGUGAUGAAGAAUAUUUUUUAUUUUGUGAAAGAAGAGAGACUAAGGAGAACAAAAAAGGAGAAAAAAAAAGAACAAGAAAUGAGAAGAUCAAGAUAAUAUCUUCUAUGUUUAUUAUAGAAGUUGCAGAUUUUAUAUAAUUAAGGUUUAUAAUAAUAGAAUCCAUGUCAUGCUUUAUUGACAGAUAUCAUAGCUAUUAUGAACUCUAAAUACUUAAAAAUACAAAUGUGCAGGUCCAAAGUCAGCAUUCGUUAGUAAGGAUUGUCCGCGAUGGUAGAGGCAUUAAAUAAGUGCUCCUUGAGGUAGAAGUUUUGAAAUAGGUGUCGAUCAGUGUUGACAAGGUAAUGGUCCUCGAUGAAUCAACUAUUAUUGAGAAGGAUAAUCAGGAUGAAGGCAAGUAAGAAGAAAAGGAGAAAAAGGAAAGCUAUUUAUAAAGAAGAAAACAAAGAAAAUAUGGAGAGAAAGAAGAAGAAGAAGGGAAAAAAAUCAAGAGAAGCAGUAGAGAAAGAAGGAAAAAAGACACCAACAAUAAUAGAGAGAGAAGAAGAAGAAGAAAAAACUAAGGCAGUAACAGAAGGAGAAGAAGAUAAAGAAGAAAAAUAAACGAAGACAUCGAAAGAUGAAGAUGAGAAAGAAGAAGAAAAUAAGAAUGCACCAAAAGAAAAAACCAAAAUUGUAGAAUAAGAAAAGAAAAUGCAACAGUAGAUAUAGAUGAUGUUCUUAAGGAAGAUGUUGAUGACAUAAACAACAUUCUUGUGGAAGACAAGACAAUUGAAGAAUCACAAAAUAAUUUAUAAUGUUUAUUUGGUUGAUCUUUAAGACAAUUUUUUUUAUUUAGUAUUAUGUAAUGAGGUUGGGUUUGAAAAAAUGAAGUUUAGAAAAUGGUGG